UACGUAGGGUGCGAGCGUUAAUCGGAAUUACUGGGCGUAAAGCGUGCGCAGGCGGUUUUGUAAGCCAGAUGUGAAAGCCCCGGGCUUAACCUGGGAAUGGCAUUUGGGACUGCAAGGCUUGAGUACAGACGAGGUAGGCGGAAUUGACGGUGUAGCGGUGAAAUGCUUAGAUAUCGUCAAGAACACCGAUAGCGAAGGCAGCUUACUAGGCUGUAACUGACGCUGAGGCACGAAAGUGUGGGGAUCAAACAGG
rnacentral:rRNA from 1 species